GGAAUAUUUAUGGUGAUUUGUUUUUAAGUGAAAAACAUGAAGUUAAAUUUAAAUUCAAAAUUAUUAAAAGUUUACUGUAAAAAAACAGUAAAAGAUAUAUAAAGGUAAUUGCCUUUUUGAUAGUUCCAAGAUAAAACAAGCCAUCUGACCAUCUAGCUAGGACAUCCUGACCCUCUUCAAAUUUACAUGCUGGCUUUUUGACUUUAUGUCCAUCCUGUAAAGACAGCUUGGUCAAGGAUGUUGGGGUCUUUUGGUUUCGACGUAAAGGAGACCGCUUGUGGACCAGUGAAUUACCUGCCCCUGUAGAGUCUCUCAUUCGGACACUU